AAUAGAUACCCCGGUAGUCCACGCCGUAAACGAUGAGUGCUAAGUGUUAGAGGGUUUCCGCCCUUUAGUGCGUGCAGCUAACGCAUUAAGCACUCCGCCUGGGGAGUACGGCCGCAAGGCUGAAACUCAAAGGAAUUGACGGGGGCCCGCACAAGCGGUGGAGCAUGUGGUUUAAUUCGAAGCAACGCGAAGAACCUUACCAGGUCUUGACAUCCUCUGCCAACCCUAGAGAUAGGGCGUUCCCCUUCGGGGGACAGAGUGACAGGUGGUGCAUGGUUGUCGUCAGCUCGUGUCGUGAGAUGUUGGGUUAAGUCCCGCAACGAGCGCAACCCUUGAUCUUAGUUGCCAGCAUUCAGUUGGGCACUCUAAGGUGACUGCCGGUGACAAACCGGAGGAAGGUGGGGAUGACGUCAAAUCAUCAUGCCCCUUAUGACCUGGGCUACACACGUGCUACAAUGGAUGGUACAAAGAGCUGCGAACCCGCGAGGGUAAGCCAAUCUCAUAAAGCCAUUCUCAGUUCGGAUUGUAGG
rnacentral:rRNA from 1 species